AUGGACGCCGACGGUCGCCUCCGGCGCGCGCUCGCCGCCUUCGGGGGCGGAGACGUGUGGGACCUCGUCGAUGCCGCGCUCGCCGCGGCCGCGCCAGCCGACCUCCGCGCGCGUCGUGACGGGAUCGUGGAGCGGCUCUACGCCGGGGCCCGCUGCCGCAAUUGCGAUGCCCCCGAGAGUCCACCGCAGCCGCCGCGUCAGCCGGCCGAGGCCGCUUCUCCGGCCUGGCAGGAGGAGGAGGAGGAGGAGGAGGAGGUGGCCGACGUGGAUGGCCUCGGCCUGGAGGAGGAGACCGACGAGGGCGGCGGCUUGGAGAGCAAGAUCCUGGCGAUCAAGGAUUUCUUGGAGGACCCCGACCAGUCGGAGGAGGAGCUCGUGAGCCUGCUGCAGAACCUGGCAGACAUGGACAUCACCUACAAGGCUCUCCAGGAGACGGACAUCGGCCGACAUGUGAAUGGCCUGCGCAAGCACCCUUCGGGUGACGUCCGGCAGUUAGUGAAGCUGCUCGUCAGGAAAUGGAAGGAGAUAGUGGACGGCUGGGUGCGGCUCCACAACUCUGGUGGUGACGGUGGAAAUUCGAUCCUAACUGAUGGUGACUCUCCUGAGAAGACUCAAGGCAAAAGCUACCAAAAUGCCCGGGUUUCAGACUUCAAGUAUACGCCCAGCCCACCACAGAGGCACAGUGGUUUGAGUUCAGAGCGGUCUAGGAAUAACAAUGGGUUCGAGUCGACACUGGAGAGGCAUAGAGCAAGCCCAGCUCCUACGUAUCAUACGAAGCAGAACAAUGGCAAUAACUAUUCAACUACUUCGUCAUCUGCUCCAGCUAGGGCGAUGAGGGAGCAGAAGGAUAAUCAUUUGGACGAGAAGCUCGAUUCAGCCAGAAAGAGGCUUCAAGAAAAUUACCAGGAAGCACAAAAUGCGAAAAAACAGAGGACAAUGCAAGUGCUGGAUAUCCACGACAUACCCAAGCCGAAAAAUAAAAACACCUUCAUCCGCAAGCCUGGUGGAGGUGGCCUCCCUGGCCGACAUCGGUGA
rnacentral:rRNA from 1 species